AGUGAACGCUGGCGGUAGGCCUAACACAUGCAAGUCGAACGGCAGCACAGUAAGAGCUUGCUCUUACGGGUGGCGAGUGGCGGACGGGUGAGGAAUACAUCGGAAUCUACUUUUUCGUGGGGGAUAACGUAGGGAAACUUACGCUAAUACCGCAUACGACCUACGGGUGAAAGCAGGGGAUCUUCGGACCUUGCGCGAUUGAAUGAGCCGAUGUCGGAUUAGCUAGUUGGCGGGGUAAAGGCCCACCAAGGCGACGAUCCGUAGCUGGUCUGAGAGGAUGAUCAGCCACACUGGAACUGAGACACGGUCCAGACUCCUACGGGAGGCAGCAGUGGGGAAUAUUGGACAAUGGGCGCAAGCCUGAUCCAGCCAUACCGCGUGGGUGAAGAAGGCCUUCGGGUUGUAAAGUCCUUUUGUUGGGAAAGAAAAGCAGCAGGUUAAUACCCCGCUGUUCUGACGGUGCCCAAAGAAUAAGCACCGGCUAACUUCGUG
rnacentral:rRNA from 1 species